CCUACGGGUGGCUGCAGUGGGGAAUAUUGGACAAUGGGGGGAACCCUGAUCCAGCCAUGCCGCGUGUGUGAAGAAGGCCCUCGGGUUGUAAAGCACUUUCAGUGAGGAAGAACGCCUGGUGGUUAAUACCCAUCAGGAAAGACAUCACUCACAGAAGAAGCACCGGCUAACUCCGUGCCAGCAGCCGCGGUAAUACGGAGGGUGCGAGCGUUAAUCGGAAUUACUGGGCGUAAAGCGCGCGUAGGUGGCUUGAUAAGCCGGUUGUGAAAGCCCCGGGCUCAACCUGGGAACGGCAUCCGGAACUGUCAAGCUAGAGGGCAGGAGAGGAAGGUAGACUUCCCGGUGUAGCGGUGAAAUGCGUAGAGAGCGGGAGGAAUAGCAGUGGCGAAGGCGGCCUUCUGGAGUGACACUGACACUGAGGUGCGAAAGCGUGGGUAGCAAACAGGAUUAGAUAGCCGUGUAGUC
rnacentral:rRNA from 1 species